UACGUAGGGGGCAAGCGUUGUCCGGAAUUAUUGGGCGUAAAGAGCGUGUAGGCGGCCAGAUAAGUCCGCUGUGAAAUCUCGAGGCUCAACUUCGAGCUGUCGGUGGAAACUAUCUGGCUAGAGUCCGGAAGAGGAGAAUGGAAUUCCUGGUGUAGCGGUGAAAUGUGCAGAUAUCAGGAGGAACACCGGUGGCGAAGGCGGGUCUCUGGGCCGAUACUGACGCUGAGGAGCGAAAGCGUGGGGAGCGAACAGG
rnacentral:rRNA from 1 species